rnacentral:rRNA from 1 species
UACGUAGGGGGCUAGCGUUGUCCGGAAUCAUUGGGCGUAAAGAGCGUGUAGGCGGCCCGGUAAGUCCGCUGUGAAAGUCGGGGGCUCAACCCUCGGAUGCCGGUGGAUACUGUCGGGCUCGAGUCCGGAAGAGGCGAGUGGAAUUCCUGGUGUAGCGGUGAAAUGCGCAGAUAUCAGGAGGAACACCGAUGGCGAAGGCAGCUCGCUGGGACGGUACUGACGCUGAGACGCGAAAGCGUGGGGAGCAAACAGG